rnacentral:rRNA from 1 species
AUUGAACGCUGGCGGCAGGCCUAACACAUGCAAGUCGAACGAGUGGCGGACGGGUGAGUAAUGUCUGGGAAACUGCCUGAUGGCGGGGGAUAACUACUGGACACUGUAGCUAAUACCUCAUACCAUCGGAUGUGCCCAGAUGGGAUUAGCAAGUAGGUGGUGUAACGGCUCACCUAGGCGACUAUCCCUAGCUGGUCUGAGAGGAUGAAGAGCCAAACUGGAACUGAGACACGGUCCAGACACCUACGGGAGGCAGCAGUGGGGAAUAUUGCACAAUGGGCGUAAGCCUGAUGCAGCCAUGCCGCGUGUAUGAAGAAGGCCUUCGGGUUUUAAAGUACUUUCAGCGGGGAGGCGUUACCCGCAGAAGAAGCACCGGCUAACUCCGUGCCAGCAGCCGCGGUAAUUC